GAUUGUGAUCACUACUUCAAUAACAGCAAAGCUCUUAAAGAAGCAAUGUGUUUCAUGAUGGAUCCUGUCCUUGGCAAGAAAACAUGCUAUGUACAAUUCCCUCAGCGUUUUGAUGGCAUUGACUUGCAUGAUCGAUAUGCCAAUCGCAAUAUUGUGUUCUUUGAUAUCAACUUGAAAGGGCUAGAUGGCAUCCAGGGUCC
rnacentral:misc_RNA from 1 species